rnacentral:rRNA from 1 species
GUAUCCUGACCGUGCUAAGGUAGCAUAAUCAUUUGCCUCUUAAUUGGUGGCUAGUAUGAAUGGACACACGCAAGCAUCGCUGUCUCACUAAUAUAAAUAAAAACUAACCUUUAGGUGAAGAGGCCUAAAUAAAAUAAAAAGACAAAAAGACCCUAUGGAGCUUUAUUUUUCCUCCUUUAACGUACAAUAUACUAAAAUACCUUCCAGGACUAACAAAUUUAGUUGGGGCGACUUAGGAAAACAAUAAAUCUUCCUAGUUUAACAAGAAAAUAAUUCAUCCAACGAUCCGCCAUGCGAAUACAGAUCCAGCUACCCUAGGGAUAACAGGCUAAUUCUUCUCGAGAGCCCGAAUUGACAGAAGAGAUUGGCACCUCG